GACGAACGCUGGCGGCGUGCUUAACACAUGCAAGUCGAACGGAAAGGCCCUGCUUUUGUGGGGUGCUCGAGUGGCGAACGGGUGAGUAACACGUGAGUAACCUGCCCUUGACUUUGGGAUAGCUUCAGGAAACUGGGGCUAAUACCGGAUAGAAGCUCCUGCUGCAUGGUGGGGGUUGGAAAGUUUCGGCGGUUGGGGAUGGACUCGCGGCUUAUCAGCUUGUUGGUGGGGUAGUGGCUUACCAAGGCUUUGACGGGUAGCCGGCCUGAGAGGGUGACCGGCCACAUUGGGACUGAGAUACGGCCCAGACUCCUACGGGAGGCAGCAGUGGGGAAUAUUGCACAAUGGGCGGAAGCCUGAUGCAGCAACGCCGCGUGCGGGAUGACGGCCUUCGGGUUGUAAACCGCUUUCGCCUGUGACGAAGCGUGAGUGACGGUAAUGGGUAAAGAAGCACCGGCUAACUACGUG
rnacentral:rRNA from 1 species